UACAGAGGUCUCAAGCGUUGUUCGGAUUCAUUGGGCGUAAAGGGUGUGUAGGUGGCGCCGUAAGUCGGGUGUGAAAUUUCGGAGCUUAACUCCGAAACUGCAUUCGAUACUGCGGUGCUUGAGGGCUGGAGAGGAGACUGGAAUUCAUGGUGUAGCAGUGAAAUGCGUAGAGAUCCGGAGGAACCCCAGAGGCGAAGGCGGCGCUCUGGCUCGCAACUGACGCUCAGACACGACAGCAUGGGGAGCGAACGGG
rnacentral:rRNA from 1 species